CGGAUUGCAGCCUGCAACUCGGCUGCAUGAAGCUGGAAUCGCUAGUAAUCGCGGAUCAGAAUGCCGCGGUGAAUACGUUCCCGGGUCUUGUACACACCGCCCGUCACACCAUGGGAGCUGGUAACACCCGAAGUCAGUAGUCUAACCGCAAGGAGGACGCUGCCGAAGGUGGGAUUAGCGACUGGGGUGAAGUCGUAACAAGGUAAC
rnacentral:rRNA from 1 species